rnacentral:rRNA from 1 species
UACGGAGGAUGCAAGCGUUAUCCGGAUUUAUUGGGUUUAAAGGGUGCGUAGGCGGGAUAAUAAGUCAGUGGUGAAAGCCUGUAGCUUAACUAUAGAAAUGCCAUUGAUACUGUUGUUCUUGAGUACAGUUGAGGUAGGCGGAAUGUGUAAUGUAGCGGUGAAAUGCUUAGAUAUUACACAGAACACCGAUUGCGAAGGCAGCUUACUAAGCUGGUACUGACGCUGAGGCACGAAAGCGUGGGGAGCAAACAGGAUUAGAUACCCUGGUAGUCCACGCUGUAAACGAUGAUCACUCGUUGUUGGCGAUAAACAGUCAGCGACUGAGCUAAAGCAUUAAGUGAUCCACCUGGGGAGUACGGCGGCAACGCUGAA